UCCCUUGUGGCUCAGAUGGUAAAGCGUCUGCCUACAAUGUGGGAGACCUGGGUUCAAUCCCUGGGUAGGGAA
rnacentral:tRNA from 1 species